GGCUGGUCCCAAGAUAGUGGGUUAUCUCAACUGCUUGUUCAGUUACAGACUGAACUCACUGUCCUACUGUUUUCCCCCUUUUCACCACUGCACCUGACUAGUCUUUA
ensembl:misc_RNA Y_RNA Y RNA